rnacentral:misc_RNA from 1 species
GAUGAAGAACGUAGUGAAAUGCGAUAAGUAAUGUGAAUUGCAGAAUUCAGUGAAUCAUCGAAUCUUUGAACGCACAUUGCGCCCGCCAGUAUUCUGGCGGGCAUGCCUGUUCGAGCGUCAUUUCAACCAUCAAGCCCCCGGCUUGUGUUGGGGACCUGCGGCUGCCGCAGGCCCUGAAAAGCAGUGGCGGGCUCGCUGUCACACCGAGCGUAGUAGCAUACAUCUCGCUCUGGGUGUGCUGCGGGUUCCGGCCGUUAAACCACCUUCAUAACCCAAGGUUGACCUCGGAUCAGGUAGGAAGACCCGCUGAACUUAAGCAUAUCAAUAAGCGGAGGA